GCCAGACAUAUUUCCAGACUCUCCAAGUUUUCCUGAAGUAUUUUCUACUAUUCAGUAUUGUUACCACUCAGAGAGCCAACCACCAAGCCAUAUUGACAUUCAGGAGUCUGCAGCAUGACAGUGCUUUGGUUUUUCUCCAGAGGAACACCAUCCAAACAAAAGUAAUGUUCACUGCUGAAUUGGGGUGAUGGCAGCAGUCACUGAGCUGCCAUGAAAGAAGCCUAACUUCAGGAGAGCCUGGGCUGCCUUGCAACAAUGGACAUUCUACAUGCUGCUGCAGUAAUGUACUCUGUGUCAGCAAAGGCAGGUGGCAAGGGAGGCGCUCUGUGUCAGAAUCUUAAUCUCUUCAUUAAUGAUCGAGGACACUGAGCAAACUGUAAAUUAAUGAAAUUUUGCAGCUGACACUAAACCGAGAGGAGUACAAAAGCACCCGGAGAGAUUAAAAGCAUGGGCAAGGAAGUAACCACAUGAGAUCUGGGUUUGAAAAAUGCAGCCUAAAUCAUCUUGGGAGAAGAAACUGAACACAAAGAUACUUGGUGGGAGCAAGAACCUUAGAAAGCAAUAAUCCUCAAUCAAAUGUUCACAGGAAGAAAUAGAUGAAUUGCCUAGUGGAAAAUGAAGCUGGGUGCAAUUGCUGUCUACAUAUGCAAGAUAUGUUUUCACUGCUAAAAAAAAAUGUUCUUAACUCAUGGUAGCUAACCCAUGUUACCUGGGGUUAAAAUAGAACUGAAGACAGGGAAACUCAGCUUUCCAGUUGGGUUAGCAGCUUGAGUUAAAGAUAAUAGCGAAGUUUUCAGCAUCUACACUGCAUUAUGUGGGCCCAGCCACCCAUAUACCAGAAUUCUUAGUGCCUUCCCAAAAUAUGGUUGUUCUAGCCCUUAGUUUGUUGUGCAGUGUGGGAAAACUUGACUGUCCACAGAACACUGGCCUGGGGGACUGUGGAAUACUUGUGGUGGACUCCCAGAGCACGAGUCCAGUGGAUCUCCAUCUAUACUGCAAAGCAAUAGGGCUCGAAUCCUGGGUGCUGGCUUGACUCAAACUCAACCCUUCUGAGGUUCUGGGAUCCUGGGGCAGUACAAUUUGUAUGUAGACAGAAGGAAGAUUUGGCUUGAGCCUGAGUUCGAACCCUGGGCUAACAGGGUUAGAGCCCCUUUGUAUUCCUCUCAUCCCUUUUCCUGGCAUACAAAGUGUAGUGCUAUCUCACCCUUGGUCUUCCAGAGCCAGAAUUUGUUAUCCCUCCAUCUAUGCUGUGAAGACCAACAUUUCUCCUUGGCACUUGGAGAAGAUCAUAAAGUUAGCAUGGGGGCUUAUGUUUACCCUCUGACAGUAAUGAAUUUAUAUUUUCAUACUGUGUAUAUUGAUGUAUUGUAAAUACACCCAGGACAAUGGGCGGGUGUUUACUGUUUGCUUAUAAACUGAAAGAACAAAACAAUGAAAAAGUGGAUGACGUUACUGGGUUUUGGGAGAUAGGAAGGAGGAAGAGGGGGGAGAGGAUAUUUCCAUUAUACAAAGUAAAAUACAAUCAAUGCAGCUGUCUGAUUUUAAGUUCUGAGAAAAGGGGUCAGAAAAGUUUAGAAGAAAGAUCAUGACUAGCCGAGUGAAGGUCUCACUGAGUGCGUAAUGUCCUAUA